rnacentral:rRNA from 1 species
GGAUUAGAUACCCUGGUAGUCCUAGCCGUAAACGAUGGAUACUAGGUGUUGCCUGUAUCGACCCAGGCAGUGCCGUAGCUAACGCGUUAAGUAUCCCGCCUGGGGAGUACGCACGCAAGUGUGAAACUCAAAGGAAUUGACGGGGGCCCGCACAAGCGGUGGAGUAUGUGGUUUAAUUCGAUGCAACGCGAAGAACCUUACCAGGACUUGACAUGUCGCGAAUCUUAGGGAAACUUGAGAGUGCCUUCGGGAGCGCGAACACAGGUGGUGCAUGGCUGUCGUCAGCUCGUGCCG